CCCCUGACCUCCGUCCACCAAAGGAUGUCUCAACUUUGACUAAAUUUGAAUGCAUCUAUACACUAAGUCACGUCUAGAUACAUCCAAGUUUUGACAAACUUGAGACAUCUUUUGUUGGACGGAGGGAGUAUAAG
rfam:Brachypodium distachyon strain Bd21 chromosome 2, whole genome shotgun sequence.